rnacentral:rRNA from 1 species
UACGGAGGGGGCUAGCGCUGUUCGGAAUUACUGGGCGUAAAGGGUGCGUAGGCGGCUAUCCAAGUCAGACGUGAAAGGCCUGGGCUCAACCCGGGAACUGCGUUUGAGACUGGGUGGCUGGAGUCCGGGAGAGGUGAGCGGAAUUCCCGGUGUAGAGGUGAAAUUCGUAGAUAUUGGGAAGAACACCGGUGGCGAAGGCGGCUCACUGGACCGGUACUGACGCUGAGGCACGAAAGCGUGGGGAGCAAACAGG